AAUGACACGAUCACUCCCGUUGAGUGGGCACCCAGGAAGCCAUCGGGAAUGUCGUGUCCGCCC
rnacentral:pre_miRNA from 1 species